GUAGGUGAACCUGCGGAAGGAUCAUUAACACGUAUCCAACGUUAACCAACCUGUGAACUUAUGUAUUUGUGCCUGAGUUGUGUUUCCAGAGCGUUCGCAAGAACACUCUGGAGGCAUGGCUCCUUAUAACCAAUUUAACCCUUGUAAACUUACGAACUGAAAACUUACUUGCUAUUGGGUAGAAGACCAUGGUAAAACAUGGGAGUCUGCUCGAUGGGCGGAAGGAUUUUACGAAACUUAAAACAACUCUUAGCAACGGAUAUCUUGGUUCUC
rnacentral:misc_RNA from 1 species